AUUGAACGCUGGCGGCAGGCCUAACACAUGCAAGUCGAACGAGUGGCGGACGGGUGAGUAAUGUCUGGGAAAAUGCCCGAUGGAGGGGGAUAACUCCUGGAAACGGUAGCUAAUACCGCAUACCAUCGGAUGUGCCAAAAGGGGAUUAGCUAGUAGGAGGGGUAACGGCUCACCUAGGCGACGCGCCCUAGCUGGUCUGAGAGGAUGACCAGCAACACGGGAACUGGUCCACGGCCCCGACUCCUACGGGAGGCAGCAGUGGGGCAUAUUGCAAAAUGGGCGCCAGCCUUAUGCAGCCAUGCCGCGUGUAUGCAGAAGGCCUUCGGGUUGUAAAGUACUUUCAGCGAGGAGGCGUUACUCGCAGAAGAAGCACCGGCUAACGCCGUGCCAGCAGCCGCGGUAAUUC
rnacentral:rRNA from 1 species